UACGAAGGGGGCUAGCGUUGCUCGGAAUCACUGGGCGUAAAGCGCACGUAGGCGGAUCUUUAAGUCGGGGGUGAAAUCCUGGAGCUCAACUCCAGAACUGCCUUUGAUACUGAAGAUCUUGAGUUCGGGAGAGGUGAGUGGAACUGCGAGUGUAGAGGUGAAAUUCGUAGAUAUUCGCAAGAACACCAGUGGCGAAGGCGGCUCACUGGCCCGAAACUGACGCUGAGGCACGAAAGCGUGGGGAGCAAACAGG
rnacentral:rRNA from 1 species